rnacentral:rRNA from 1 species
AGCGAACGCUGGCGGCAGGCUUAACACAUGCAAGUCGAGCGGGCGUAGCAAUACGUCAGCGGCAGACGGGUGAGUAACGCGUGGGAACGUACCUUUUGGUUCGGAACAACACAGGGAACCUUGUGCUAAUACCGGAUAAGCCCUUACGGGGAAAGAUUUAUCGCCGAAAGAUCGGCCCGCGUCUGAUUAGCUAGUUGGUAGGGUAAUGGCCUACCGAGGCGACGAUCAGUAGCUGGUCUGAGAGGAUGAUCAGCCACAUUGGGACUGAGACACGGCCCAAACUCCUACGGGAGGCAGCAGUGGGGAAUAUUGGACAAUGGGGGCAACCCUGAUCCAGCCAUGCCGCGUGAGUGAUGAAGGCCCUAGGGUUGUAAAGCUCUUUUGUGCGGGAAGGUAAUGACGGUACCGCAAGAAUAAGCCCCGGCUGACUUCGUGCCAGCCGCCGCCGUAAGAC